UCAGUACUGCCAACAGGAGGCUGCAGUCCCUGCCUGGGAUCCUAACCUCCACUCACCAGCUGGUAAAGCAAACCCUAGAACUCCACCUGGCUUAGGUCCCUAUUCUCAGGAGAUCAAAGAGCCACUGCAGCAAGUAGAGAGCUGCAAGAUUGGAACAUGGGAGGACAGGCAGAGGCAAAGUCUCGGUCAAUCUCUACAGCAGCUAGGCCAGGCACUCAACAUAUUUCAUAAACUAUCUGAGCUCUUAGAGCCCCACGCUGAGAAAACCACAAGAGAAAAUGUGAAGAUCAAGACCUUAACUCCAGAGUUGUACUUU